AAUGAAUUGCUAUCAGAUUUUUGAUGUGUCGCCAAACCGAUGCCACUGACAUGACGCCAUCGAUGUGCGUCUGUCUCUGGCUGCACAUGCGCCUUGAGUUUACCUCAGGAGUUGAUAGAGGCCUGCGCAUUGACAAGUGGAGCGCAUUGACGAGUGGCAGUGGUUCUAUGUGGUCAGUUUGCAACUGUCUCUUGCUGAAGCACAAGGGAUGCAGGUUUGGAGCCACCCAGUGUGAGAGCUGGAACCUUUGGAAAAGCAACCAGUGCUCUUGAUCCCUGAACAAUCUGCCGAAACCCCAGAAUCUGUAUUUUUAAAAGAUGUUCUCAGAAUCAACAUAAAGUAGAAUCACAAUGAAGGCUCUUCAAAAAACUAAAAACUGAUUCUAACCUAUGGCCAUGUAUUACUGCUCCUAGGUUUUACAAAACAUAUUUCAAUUCACUAUAUUAGAGAUAUAUUUGCCUGUCAGUGUUGAUUGUAGCACACUUGUACUUGGCUCUCACAUUGCAUAGCCAGAAUAUCUAGUUAGGGUUCCCCUGAAGAACUGAACUGAUUCAAUGAGUAUAUACGGAGAAUGUUCACACACACACACACACACACACACACACACACACACACACACACAUGAAUUUCUUGCAGGCUAUGUUCUUGCUAGUAUAAUAAUGGUUAACACCAGUCCUGUAGUUAUUCAAUCCAUGAGGCUGUCUUUGCUGGUCUUCUGUAUAUAUUGUCUGGAAUCCUGAAGAAGGAGGCUGUAAUGCUGGUAAAGGAAUGAAUUGGAUAGCAAGAGAAGAACAAGGACAAGCAAGCAAAGAACAAAGAGCUUCCGUCUUCCACAUUCUUUCUAUAGGCUUGCACAAGAAUGUUUGACUCCAAUUAAAGGUAGAUCUUCUCACCUAAGAAGAUCCAGAUAAAUGUUGAGUAAUUGUACUUCAAAAGAUUUAAUAAUUUUAAUUAAGAAAAUCCCUCACAGGUGUACCCAAUAAA